rnacentral:rRNA from 1 species
UACGUAGGGGGCGAGCGUUGUCCGGAUUUAUUGGGCGUAAAGAGCGCGUAGGCGGUUUGCCAAGUCGUGCGUGAAAUACUCCGGCUCAACUGGAGUGGGUCGUGCGAUACUGGUAGACUUGAGGCCGGAAGGGGGAAGUGGAAUUCCCGGUGUAGUGGUGGAAUGCGUAGAUAUCGGGAGGAACACCAGUGGCGAAGGCGGCUUCCUGGACCGGUCCUGACGCUGAGGCGCGAAAGCGUGGGGAGCGAACUGA